rnacentral:rRNA from 1 species
AGAGUUUGAUCAUGGCUCAGAUUGAACGCUGGCGGCAUGCCUUACACAUGCAAGUCGAACGGUAACAGGUCUUCGGAUGCUGACGAGUGGCGAACGGGUGAGUAAUACAUCGGAACGUGCCCAGUCGUGGGGGAUAACGAAGCGAAAGCUUUGCUAAUACCGCAUACGAUCUAAGGAUGAAAGCGGGGGAUCGCAAGACCUCGCGCGAUUGGAGCGGCCGAUGGCAGAUUAGGUAGUUGGUGGGGUAAAGGCUUACCAAGCCUACGAUCUGUAGCUGGUCUGAGAGGACGACCAGCCACACUGGGACUGAGACACGGCCCAGACUCCUACGGGAGGCAGCAGUGGGGAAUUUUGGACAAUGGGCGCAAGCCUGAUCCAGCAAUGCCGCGUGCAGGAUGAAGGCCUUCGGGUUGUAAACUGCUUUUGUACGGAACGAAAAGCUCUGGGUUAAUACCUCGGGGUCAUGACGGUACCGUAAGAAUAAGCACCGGCUAACUACGUGCCAGCAGCCGCGGUAAUACGUAGGGUGCGAGCGUUAAUCGGAAUUACUGGGCGUAAAGCGUGCGCAGGCGGUUUUGUAAGACAGUGGUGAAAUCCCCGGGCUCAACCUGGGAACUGCCAUUGUGACUGCAAGGCUAGAGUGCGGCAGAGGGGGAUGGAAUUCCGCGUGUAGCAGUGAAAUGCGUAGAUAUGCGGAGGA